UUAUUCACCUUUGCAUAUGUCCUUCUGCUCCCAUAUACUCAACCAGUGCCCGAUAUACAAACCAAGAGAGAAGAAACAUCAACAUUUCCUGAAAAGUUGAACUUGUAGCUGUACUUGAAGGACUGUGAGAUAACAGAACUAAAUGUUAGAAGCAGCCUGGUUCCCUGAGUCACCACCAGGAGGGCAGCUACCAGGAGAGUCACCCAACCUUCUUCAGGCUGAGAUCAUUUGACUCCCUGACCUUCUUCAACAGAAAAGUCUAUGGGCUGAUUAUACGCUAAGAAUAGAA